ensembl:lncRNA
CUCCACCAGUGCCCCGGAUAUAUCGUCCCCAUAGGUAGCGCGUUGUCAUACCAUACGUUUCGAGAUUGGUGUUUCAUAAAAUUCAAUUUAUGUAAUUAAAUGAACCAAACAGCAAGUUAAGAUUUUGACUUCGUUAAUGGAAUAAUGUUACAACUUAAAAGACAUUCCCACAGACGCUUUGUUUCACAGUCAGUCAACGCCUGCCCUCUGAUGGACAAAACGAGAACUGCGGGCAGUAUAUUUUUUGUGGCCAGGAGAUUACAUACAAGGCAGCUGAGUGCAGCAGGAAGCUCUUCAUCUUCCAC